AGUGAACGCUGGCGGCAUGCCUAACACAUGCAAGUCGAACGGCAGCACAGCAGUAGCAAUACUGUGGGUGGCGAGUGGCGGACGGGUGAGGAACACAUCGGAAUUUGCCCAGUCGUGGGGGAUAACGUAGGGAAACUUACGCUAAUACCGCAUACGACCUAACGGUGAAAGCGGGGGAUCGCAAGACCUCGCGCGGAUGGAUAAGCCGAUGUCGGAUUAGCUAGUUGGCGGGGUAAAGGCCCACCAAGGCGACGAUCCGUAGCUGGUCUGAGAGGAUGAUCAGCCACACUGGGACUGAGACACGGCCCAGACUCCUACGGGAGGCAGCAGUGGGGAAUAUUGGACAAUGGGGGCAACCCUGAUCCAGCAAUGCCGCGUGUGUGAAGAAGGCCUUCGGGUUGUAAAGCACUUUUAUCGGGAACGAAACAUUGUCGGUGAAUAUCCGGCAAGACUGACGGUACCCGAGGAAUAAGCACCGGCUAACUUCGUG
rnacentral:rRNA from 1 species